rnacentral:rRNA from 1 species
GAUGAACGCUGGCGGCGUGCUUAACACAUGCAAGUCGAGCGGAAAGGCCCUUCCUGGUACUCGAACUGCAAACGGGUGAGUAAGACUUAAGUAACCUUCCCUAGCCCUUCACAUAACCCUCGGAAAGGGGGGCUAAUACCGAAUACGCCUUCUAAAUCGCUUGAGUUGGUUUUGUGAGUUUUUCGGUCUGGGAUGGUCUCGCGGCCUAUCAGCUUGUUGGUGGGGUAAUGGCCUACCAAGGCGGGGACGGGUAGCCGGCCUGAGAGGGCGACCGGCCACACUGGGACUGAGACACGGCCCAGACUCCUACGGGAGGCAGCAGUGGGGAAUAUUGCACAAUGGGCGGAAGCCUGAUGCAGCGACGCCGCGUGAGGGAUGACGGCCUUCGGGUUGUAAACCUCUUUCAGCAGGGACGAAGCGUAAGUGACGGUACCUGCAGAAGAAGCGCCGGCUAACUACGUG